GUGAGGAAUAUUGCGCAAUGGAGGCAACUCUGACGCAGCCAUGCCGCGUGCAGGAAGAAGGCGCUACGCGUUGUAAACUGCUUUUAACCGGGAAGAAACCCCAGGACGUGUCCUGGGUUGACGGUACCGGAGGAAUAAGCACCGGCUAACUUCGUGCCAGCAGCCGCGGUAAUACGAAGGGUGCAAGCGUUAUCCGGAUUCAUUGGGUUUAGAGGGUGCGUAGGCGGAGCGUUAAGUCAGUGGUGAAAUCCUGCAGCUUAACUGUAGACUUGCCAUUGAUACUGGCGCUCUUGAGUGCGCUUGAAGUGGGCGGAAUGUGCCGUGUAGCGGUGAAAUGCUUAGAUAUGGCACAGAACACCAAUUGCGAAGGCAGCUCACUAAGGCGAUACUGACGCUGAGGCACGAAAGCGUGGGGAUCGAACAGGAUUAGAAACCCUAGUAGUCC
rnacentral:rRNA from 1 species